AAUCCUCGCACUUAUGCUCGCACUCUCCACUCUGGCGCUCGCUCACUUGCUGCUGGACCCGGCACUGGUGCUUGCACUGCUGGAGCUCAGGGUCUUCCUGGGCUGCAACUAGAGAGAGAGCCACCCACAAACAGAAAGUACAACACAAGAAGAAGGCGAAAGGAAAUUUAGCAUUGUUGAUCACCAUUUUUGGCAGAGAGAUCUUGCUCAAGGAAAAGGGUGAAGAUGGGGGUUAUAUGUGUUGUAGGUGGGGGAGAGAGGAAGAGGGAAAGGGAGGAGAGAGAGAGACGUGGAGUUGAGAGGACAUGCAUGGAGACGGGUGGCAAUCAUACGUGUCCAUCACUAGUGUUCAGAAUCAUCCCCAAGUUUGAGUAGGGACAAGGAUCUGACAAAAGCUCUUCUACCCUCUCGAAAAACCGCGAAUUUGGCUUCUGGUUAUGCUGAAACCACUGUGAAUUAAUGAACCAUGGAGGAAAACGAAGAAACAUAGGAAGUGAAUUUCAAGUAUUAUGUCCCUGGCAGAUAAGAAGAAAGAAGAGGCACUUUCAGAAAACAGUUUCAAUCUUCUAUUUAAAAUGUUGUCAAUUUUCUAAAAUUAGUAUUAAGAAACAAGGAAAAUGCCAAGUAUGAAGUCGAUUAAAAGAUUGGAAAUGUUAUAAUAUUAAACCAUACCUAUAAUUAAUCCAUGGUUAAUUUCUUCUGGAUACCAAACUCACAAGCAUAUAAUCUAACAGUUUAAAUGAAACUAACCAGAAAUGGAGGAUUUUCGGAUGAAAUGAGUAAUGAGAAAGAAAGAAGGGGAGGAACACAAAAACUUAGGAAAAGAAAGGCCGAGAGUAGGGCCUCUAUUUAUUUAUUUAUGGAAGUGGUUGGGCUUUACACUCAUCUACAUACAGAACAGCAGAACAUCACUCAAGUCUGAGUCUUAAUAUACAUAGAUAAUAUAUAAGAGAGAAGAAGCAAACUCCUUCAUACAACCCUCAAAACUAAAGCCGCCUCCAACAUAGAAGGAUGGAAACCCAACCCACUCAUGACUCAAGCCUCCACACCCCACCAGCACCAACUCAGGCGUAGGCAUGGCCUCCACGUGGCCCUGGGAAGAACCACCAUUCAUUCUGUUUUGCGAACACCUCGUCCACCUCUCUUGCUGGGAUGCUGAAAGCCAGCUCCUUCGCCUCUUUCUCCAGUGCAUUCACUAUGUUCUUGUCCCCUGAAAUUUGUCAAAGAAAAGGAACUUAAAAGAUUGUGGAAAGAGCAGGAGGAAGAGUGGAAAUGGUGGGUGUUUAGUUCAUUUGAUUCAGUACCUGCAAGAGACUCCCUCCUGUUGUUUUCAGCAUUCACAUCAAAGCACACAAUCUCCAAAUUCCGGUUGUUUCCGGCGACUACGAUUAGGGGGUGGCCUGCUGGGACAACGAAGAGCAUCCCACGUUUCAGAGGUGAGCUUAGUCUCUGGUAAUGUGGGCUCGCACUCUGCUGCUGCUGCUCACGCCUUUGUUCACCUGUGCUUUGUCCUUGGCCCUGCUGCUGCUGAGAGACAUGGGGACAAGCCAUCUCCAUGUACCCUUCACCUUUAACCACCACAGCUAUCUUAGUAGCCCUUGUGUUGAAGAAGGGACCUUCCAUUGAUCCCUGAAGAAGCAGGGAGAAAGGAAAAGAAGUUCAGAAAUAAGAUACAGAACUGAAAAUUCAGAAAAAUUAAGAAGAUAAUUAGAGUUGGGAGAAAGGAAAUACUUUGGUGAUGUUAGAAUAAGAGACUGCAAUGUCCAUAUCUUGUAGCUGCUGGAAUUCAUUGGCAUCAGCCUCAUGGAGUCGUCCAUAUCUAUUAGAAAUGGAGGGUUCCUUGCUUAGAAGAUUGAAUACUCUCUUGGAUUCUGUUGACCCGAAUGGGAAGGGAAACAUUCCAGAUUCCUCGCGUUGGCUCAAGGCCUGGAUCUGUUGUUCUGAAGCUUUGACGAUGACUCCCUUAUUCUGUUGCUUAAUCACCCUCUGCACCCUAUCUUGUUCAACCUGCUUGAUUUUAAAAUCAAAGACAUUAAUCCACAUGUACAAGAAUUAAAAGGAAAACCCAUUUCAUAAAACAAAAGAAUCAUAAACUCAAAUCCAAGAGAAAAAAAAAAAGUGAGAAUGUCAGAAUCUACCUUCAAAGCAGAUGAAAGUAACUCUUCGCUGAAAGCCCUGUAGAAUGAUUGUGGGUUCUCACCAGCUGGGCCAUAAAAUGGCUACAUCAGAACAAAAAAUCAGUAUACAUAUGUGUUUGUUGAGAGGCUAUAUGAGUGUAAGGCCACAAAUUCACCUGGAAUUCGUCUGGAAGAGCAACAGGUUGUAGCAGCUUGGCGAUUCUGAGUUUCUUAUUUUUGUCUCUGUUGAUCAUGUAAAUGGUAGUCCCUGCGCGGAUCCUCACUAUAUCUCCCUGUUUGAUAUUGAAGCUUUCCCUCUUACCUUGGGACACCAGGCUGAGAGUUCCUCGUCCUGAGAUCAAAUUAGUAUAAACCCAGAUUUAUUAAUGAACUUGGUAGUUAGAAAAAGGAAGGUAAGGAAAAUGGGAAGAAAUUAUGGCUAUACCGGAAGCGACAUAGACCACGGCCUCAGCAUCAAGAUGCGCUGGAAGCACAAAGGUUUGGGGGUUGGCUUCAAGGUAGACGAAGCGGUAGUUCUUGAGGCCGCGGAGAAGCCGGGACCUUUGGUGGAACCUCUGAAGGAUCUUGAUUCUGCCCUCGUUGGUCUCUAGUGAUGCAGUAUAGUGUUGGUCCUGGAACACAUAAGGGUUUUGCUCUUGUUGCUCUUGCCCCUGCUCCUGCUCCUGCUCCUGCCCCUGCUCCUGCUGGCGGCCUUGUUCGUCCUUCUCUCCUGACUGCCCUCCUCCUCCUUUACCUUCCUCCCCACGUUGCCGCUCAUAAGUGUCUUGGCACUGUCGGCGGCACUGCUCUUUCUGCUGUUCCCUCUGGCGCUCGCACUGUUUCUGGCAUUGCUGGAGCUGCUUCUCGGGGUCAGUGUUAGAGUUCAGCACAAUGCGACUGCCGCCGCCACCUUCUCCUUCACCCUCUCCGUGAUUCUGUCCGUGGUAAUCCUCGCACUUUUGCUCGCACUCCCGCCUCUGCCGAUGGCUGAAUUCGUGAUAGGUCCUGCACUGGCUCUUGCACAAUUGGAGCUCCGGGUCUACGUUGGCGACAGCUAGAGAGAAAGUUACAGACAAAAAGAAGAGGGAGAAUAGUAGGAAAGCAAAGGAAAGUUUGGUGUUGAUCACCAUCGUGGAUUCUUUGCUGGACUACAACUCUCAGA
rnacentral:lncRNA from 1 species